rnacentral:sRNA from 1 species
CUCCCGUGCAGGAGAUGGUAGAUGAGUUACAAGGCCCCUUCUCGUAUGAUUUCUCUUACUGGGCGCGGUCUGGAGAGAAAAUCACUGUUACACCAUCAUCUAAAGAGCUGCUCUUUUAUCCCCCUUCAAUGGAAGCCGUUGUCAGUGGAGAAAGCUGCCCAGGGAAGCUGAUCGAGAUCCACGGGAAGGCAGGCCUGUUUUUAGAAGGCCAGAUCCACCCCGAGUUGGAAGGAGUCGAGAUUGUCAUCAGUGAAAAGGGGGCAAGUUCACCGCUGAUCACAGUCUUUACUGAUGACAAAGGUGCCUACAGUGUUGGCCCCCUGCACAGUGACCUGGAGUAUACGGUGACCUCACAGAAGGAGGGCUAUGUUCUGACUGCAGUGGAAGGAACCAUCGGAGACUUCAAGGCCUAUGCCCUGGCAGGCGUAAGCUUUGAGAUAAAAGCUGAGGAUGACCAGCCCCUCCCGGGAGUCCUCUUAUCCCUGAGCGGUGGCCUGUUUCGUUCCAACCUCUUGACCCAGGACAACGGCAUUCUGACAUUCUCAAACCUGGUAACGUGUUCUGCAAUUUACCACCUGCCUGUCUUCCCUGAGAGAGAGCCAGGAUGCAGCAUGCGAGACUUAUGUGUUGCUUGACAACAUGAGAAGAGAAAGCCAAUGUGGAGUGGUUUCAGUUUCUUGGGGGCCCACAGUCAUUAGAGUAUUGCUCUUACUCAAACUUAAUGCUGCUGAUUCAUGUUCCCUUCCACACGCACUUCUUGUUUUCUGAUCACCCGCUUGUCACUAAGACAGUGUAAUUAAUUUCCCUGGCCACAACGGCUGCUCUCUUAGGCGUCUUCUUGUUUUGCCACGGAAUCAUGUUUAUGAUGCUGAGCCUUGUUUGGUGGUUAGCUUGCGUUUCUUCUGAAAAGACAUUCCACUUGGUGGGAAGAGAGCAGCAGUUUUUCUUUCAAGAUGCAGUCGGAGGCCUUGACUGGUGGGGAUUCAGGAAGUGUGUGUUAGUUGGUCAUCUUGUCAGUCAUGGUAACAAAGUGGCUGUGGUGGGGCUAUUGGAGACCGGGCAGCGGGGGCAUCUGAAGACACCACUUUGCAGUGAUGCAGACUGCUCCUUACUUGCUGUGUCCUAUCAGGCAAGUUACUUUGCCUCUCUGAGCCUCAGUUUCUUUAUUCAUUAAAUUCAAAUAUGGGCCAGGUAUGGUGGCCCACGCCUGUAAUCCCACUGCUUUGGGAGGGUGAGGCAGUAGGAUCGCUUGAGCUUGGGAGUUUGAGA